GGGGUUGUGGCUCAGCGGUAGAGCGCUUGCCUAGCACGGGCAGGACCCAGGUUCGAUCCUCAGCACCA
rnacentral:tRNA from 1 species